GAUGAAGAACGCAGCGAAAUGCGAUAAGUAAUGUGAAUUGCAGAAUUCAGUGAAUCAUCGAAUCUUUGAACGCACAUUGCGCCCCCUGGUAUUCCGGGGGGCAUGCCUGUUCGAGCGUCAUUUCACCACUCAAGCCUCGCUUGGUAUUGGGCAUCGCGGUCCGCCGCGCGCCUCAAAUCGACCGGCUGGGUCUUCUGUCCCCUAAGCGUUGUGGAAACUAUUCGCUAAAGGGUGUUCGGGAGGCUACGCCGUAAAACAACCCCAUUUCUAAGGUUGACCUCGGAUCAGGUAGGGAUACCCGCUGAACUUAAGCAUAUCAAUAAGCGGAGGGA
rnacentral:misc_RNA from 1 species